rnacentral:rRNA from 1 species
UACGUAGGGGGCAAGCGUUGUCCGGAAUCAUUGGGCGUAAAGCGCAUGUAGGUGGUUAGAUAAGUCUGAUGUGAAAUCCCCGGACUCAAUUCGGGAAGUGCAUUGGAUACUGUUUGACUAGAGUAUGGGAGAGGUAAGCGGAAUUCCAGGUGUAGAGGUGAAAUUCGUAGAUAUCUGGAGGAACAACAGAGGCGAAGGCGGCUUACUGGACCAUUACUGACACUGAGAUGCGAAAGCGUGGGGAGCAAACAGG